CCUACGGGAGGCAGCAGGAGGGAAUAUUGCUCAAUGGGGGAAACCCUGAAGCAGCAACGCCGCGGGGAGGAUGAAGGUUUUCGGAUGGUAAACUCCUUGUGUUAGAGAAGAGAAUGACGGUAGCUAACGAAUAAGCACCGGCUAACUCCGUGCCAGCAGCCGCGGUAAGACGGAGGGUGCAAGCGUUACUCGGAAUAACUGGGCGUCAAGAGCGCGUAGGCGGGAUAGCAAGUCAGAUGUGAAAUCCUAUGGCUUAACCAUAGAACUGCAUUUGAAACUGUUAUUCUAGAGUAUGGGAGAGGUAGGUGUCAUUCUUGGUGUCGCGGUCAAUUCCGUAGAGCUC
rnacentral:rRNA from 1 species